CACAGAUUUACUUCAAGUUUCCAAAGCACUGCAUUAAUGACUAAACCCCGUCUGACACACUUUCUUGAAGUGUAGUCGCCUCCCAAAAACCCACAUGUGCGGGACCUGACCUCCAAUUCGAUGAGUGCCUGUGGCGCCUUUCGAUGGCCUGGCUUUCCAAACUGCACAAUUUUCGCCUACGCUGACGCCGAGUGAAAGAGACCAGAGUCUGGACAAGGAGGAGGAGGAGGAGAAGAAGAAGGAGGAGGAGGAGGCACUGCAUUCCGGCCUGCAGACUCGAACCAUAAAUGGACACACACGAUCUUUGAGUGCAGUCCAAGCUCGCCCAUAAAUGGAACUGGCCAUUAGAAAGUUUUUGUCUGAACCUCGGACAGCGGCCACGACCACCUUGAUGUUCAUGUCCCGAACCCGACAACAGCGACGUCGACGAUGACUACGACUUGAGGCCAAUUUACUUUACUUUUCAUUCAUGUUGUACUACGGCGGGUACUACGGCAGUGGGAACAAAACAACAACAACAACAAAAAGAACAAAAAAUAAAUAAGAAGAAAGAAAAGAAUAAGAGAGAAAAAACUGUAAGCUGCGUUCAUUACACGUUGUUAUUUGUUGUCUGCGGUACAUUAUUGCUCUUGUUCGCUGUUUUGCUCACCAAUUAGCUGCAG